rnacentral:rRNA from 1 species
AGUGAACGCUGGCGGCAUGCUUUACACAUGCAAGUCGAACGGUAACAGGCCUUCGGGUGCUGACGAGUGGCGGACGGGGGAGUAAUGCAUCGGAACGUGCCCAGAGGUGGGGGAUAACGCAGCGAAAGCUGUGCUAAUACCCCAUGUGAUCUGAGGCGGACAGCGGGGGACCACGCAGCAAUGUUUGGCCUCGCGCCUUUGGAGCGGCCGAUGUCGGAUUAGCUAGUUGGUGGGGUAAAGGCCUACCAAGGCGACGAUCUGUAGCUGGUCUGAGAGGAUGAUCAGCCACACUGGAACUGAGACACGGUCCAGACUCCUACGGGAGGCAGCAGUGGGGAAUAUUGGACAAUGGGCGCAAGCCUGAUCCAGCAAUGCCGCGUGGGUGAAGAAGGCCUUCGGGUUGUAAAGCCCUUUUGUUGGGAAAGAAAAGCAGCAGGUUAAUACCGCGGUGUUCUGACGGUACCCAAAGAAUAAGCACCGGCUAACUUCGUG